rnacentral:sRNA from 1 species
GCUGGGCAUGGUGGCACAUGCCUGUAAUCCCAAUUACUGAGAAAGCUGAGGCAGGAGAAUGGCAAGGUCAGCGUGAGUAAUUUAGUGACACCCUGUCUCAA